rnacentral:rRNA from 1 species
UACGGGGGGAGCAAGCGUUGUUCGGAUUUACUGGGCGUAAAGGGCGCGUAGGCGGCGCAACAAGUCACUUGUGAAAUCUCCGGGCUUAACCCGGAGCGGCCAAGUGAUACUGUCGUGCUAGAGUGCGGAAGGGGCUACUGGAAUUCUCGGUGUAGCGGUGAAAUGCGUAGAUAUCUGGAGGAAUACCGGUGGCGAAGGCGGCAUCCUGGACCGACAUUGACGCUGAUGAGCGAAAGCUAGGGGAGCAAACGGG